UACGUAGGUGGCGAGCGUUAUCCGGAUUUAUUGGGCGUAAAGCGAGCGCAGGUGGUUUAUUAAGUCUGGUGUAAAAGGCAGUGGCUCAACCAUUGUAUGCAUUGGAAACUGGUAGACUUGAGUGCAGGAGAGGAGAGUGGAAUUCCAUGUGUAGCGGUGAAAUGCGUAGAUAUAUGGAGGAACACCGGUGGCGAAAGCGGCUCUCUGGCCUGUAACUGACACUGAGGCUCGAAAGCGUGGGGAGCAAACAGG
rnacentral:rRNA from 1 species